rnacentral:rRNA from 1 species
UUGACCUCGGAUCAGGUAGGGAUACCCGCUGAACUUAAGCAUAUCAAUAAGCGGAGGAAAAGAAACCAACCGGGAUUGCCUCAGUAACGGCGAGUGAAGCGGCAAGAGCUCAAAUUUGAAAGCUGGCUCCUUCGGGGUCCGCAUUGUAAUUUGCAGAGGAUGCUUCGGGUGCGGCCCCUGUCUAAGUGCCCUGGAACGGGCCGUCAGAGAGGGUGAGAAUCCCGUCUGGGAUGGGGUGUCCGCGCCCGUGUGAAGCUCCUUCGACGAGUCGAGUUGUUUGGGAAUGCAGCUCUAAAUGGGUGGUAAAUUUCAUCUAAAGCUAAAUACUGGCCGGAGACCGAUAGCGCACAAGUAGAGUGAUCGAAAGAUGAAAAGCACUUUGAAAAGAGAGUUAAAAAGCACGUGAAAUUGUUGAAAGGGAAGCGCUUGCGACCAGACUCGCCUCCAGGGUUCAGCCGGCAUUCGUGCCGGUGUACUUCCCUGGGGGCGGGCCAGCGUCGGUUUGGGCGGCCGGUCAAAGGCUCCCGGAAUGUAGUGCCCUCCGGGGCACCUUAUAGCCGGGAAGUGCAAUGCGGCCAGCCUGGACCGAGAAACGCGCUUC